rnacentral:lncRNA from 1 species
GAAACAUUCUACAAAUUUAUCAUAGGACAAAUAUUUCUGAACUGGACAGUAAUUACACAAACAUUUCUCUGCUUACGUUGCUUAACAAGGAGUUCUCCAUAGCGAACAUUACGCUGAAUGAAAACGAAACAGUGGAAAUGUAUGCUCUGAGCUACUACACAAAGCUUAACGAAUAUCUGCCUACAAUUAAUCCAGAAACAUUGUACAACUACGCCGGAGCCCGCGUCGUGCUCGGUUGGGCGUUUGACUUGUCGAGCGCCUUCCGAAAUGCGUCCUUCGAGCUUAGCAAAAUCGCUUGGGGAGUUCAGACUGAAACGGAAAGAUGGAAACGGUGCAUAUCUGCCUUGAGUAGCGGGAAUGCAGCAAGUCAUCGACCGUAUGUACGUGACGGAGAAAUUCAGUGCCGACGCAAAAACAGAGGUGGAACAGUACGUCGGGAAUUUAACCGAAGCAUUUCGAAAAGAGCUUGAAAAUAUAACAUGGAUGGACAACAGCACAAGAAACGCCGCGCUGAAGAAGUUGAAGAAAAUGGGUUUAAAAAUUGGAUACCCGGAUUACGUGAUGAACAUGACUUUUCUUCAAGAGA